CGUGCUGACACUCACCUUGCAAUCAUCACAUCAUGAACCUGUUAAUUUAAGUGUCUCUGUUGUUAUGGUUUCAGGUGGGUGUGGCUAAUAUCUGACCAUGGUGAAGUCGUGUGCUGUCAUCUCCUGCACCAGUCCAUUUGGAAUAUUUCCUUUCAUAAGUUUUCCAAGCAGUCCAAGGACAGCACACUGAGAGAUCAAUGGAUACAGGCCAUCAGCAGAGAAGUGGUGAGGACCAAGAGGAGAUGAUCAUAAUUAUGUCUGCAGCAACCAUUUCAGGGAGGAGGACUUCAUCCUCUCAAAACAUGCUCAACACAAGCUUCUCAGGCCAGGAGCUGUACCAGCCCUCAGUUUGGGGAAACCAGAGAAAAAGAUGAGGACAACCCAAAGCAGCCCGGCAGCAGUGGCAUUAUACCAGCACAUGGACAUGGAGCCUGAACUAGAGUCUGAAGAGGACAGUGCUGCUGUUAGUGAAGACCAUGCAUACUGUACAGACAGCGACACCCUGAAGAGGAAAUAUGACGGUCUAAGUGUACAGCAUGAAAAGCUGAGGCAGGACUUCAACAAUGCCAAACGUAGAGAGAAGCGCUGCAGAGUGACGUUGGAGGCCAUGUUAGCUAAAACCAAGGAAAUACAAGCUCUGUCUGAUGAUGCAUGUAAAGGUAUUCCUUGUUUAGAAGUACAUAUGAAUGAGAUGCAGCAUAUUUAAAUAGAAUUAUGUAACUGCACAUUGCUCAUACAGUGCACUUUGCUGCCACUGCUCAAGGAAUUAAUACUCAUUUCGCCACCUUGGUUCGUCUGUUGUGUGAGGAAUUUGUUCGUUUGAGAACAUUUCACUGUAAAUUUGACGAACAUCAAGUUACAGGGAGUGUCUGUGAGGAAGUCCUUUACUAAAACAGUUCUAUUUAGAAAUCAGUGACUUCCCAAUAUCCUUAUUAUUUCCAGCAAUGCUUAUAAAUUUCUGUAUUUUGUGUAAAAACUCCUGGAUAUUUUGAAGCCUUUUGACGCACUGAAAAUUAGUAAUUUGUUCACUUUGUGAAAAUUAUGUGGAAAAGUACACUUUUGGUGAGAUUGUUAAAAAGCCAUGCAUCUCAUAUCGUUGCUUUUCUUGAAACAAUUUAGGCUAUUUCUGGGAAAACAGGCUACUUCAUAAGUUUCAAACUGAAACGUUUUGUUUUUGCCCUAAAGUUGGCGUUUUAUAGCAAAUUGUUCAUGGACUUUUAUUGUGAAAUAUAUAUUUCCUACAAUACUCCUAUAUUUUCUCAGAGAAGACUUUUAUUUUGUCAUAUUUUUAUCUGUCAGGUGCACUUGAUACACUGUAAAUAUUUUAUUGGAACACGGAUAUUUGCAACUGAAGCUACAAGUGGUGUAACUGUUGUAAUGCAUUUAUCAACACAAACAUUUGUCUGGGGGGUGUAUUUUAUAUGUUCUGGUAACAAGUUGGAGCAGUAUUCUGUUGUAAAAAUAAAAUACUUUCAAUGGUU